rnacentral:rRNA from 1 species
AUUGAACGCUGGCGGCAUGCCUUACACAUGCAAGUCGAACGGCAGCGGACCUUCGGGUGCCGGCGAGUGGCGAACGGGUGAGUAAUAUAUCGGAACGUACCUUUCAGUGGGGGAUAACGUAGCGAAAGUUACGCUAAUACCGCAUAUUCUGUGAGCAGGAAAGCAGGGGAUCGCAAGACCUUGCGCUGAUUGAGCGGCCGAUAUCAGAUUAGCUAGUUGGUGAGGUAAAGGCGUCACCAAGGCGACGAUCUGUAGCGGGUCUGAGAGGAUGAUCCGCCACACUGGAACUGAGACACGGUCCAGACUCCUACGGGAGGCGGCAGUGGGGAAUUUUGGACAAUGGGCGCAAGCCUGGAUCCAGCCAUGCCGCGUGAGUGAGAAGGCCUUAGGGUUGUAAAGCUCUUUUACCAGGGAUGAUAAUGACAGUACCUGGAGAAUAAGCUCCGGCUAACUCCGUGCCAGCAGCCGCGGUAUGUAGACGU